GGCAGCAUGGUGUAGUGGUUUGAGUGUUGAACUAGGACUCCAGGAGAUCAGGGAUCGAAUCCCCGCUCAGCCA